rnacentral:rRNA from 1 species
CCUACGGGGGGCAGCAGUAGGGAAUCUUUCACAAUGGGCGAAAGCCUGAUGGAGCAACGCUGCGUGCAGGAUGAAGGCCUUCGGGUUGUAAACUGCUUUUAUAAGCGAGAAAUAUGAUGGUAACUUAUGAAUAAGGAUCGGCUAACUACGUGCCAGCAGCCGCGGUCAUACGUAGGAUCCGAGCAUUAUCCGGAGUGACUGGGUGUAAAGAGUUGCGUAGGUGGCAUAAUAAGUAGCUAGUGAAAUCUGGUGGCUCAACCAUUCAGACUAUUAGCUAAACUGUUAAGCUCGAGACCGUUAGGGGUAACUGGAAUUUCUAGUGUAGGAGUGAAAUCCGUAGAUAUUAGAAGGAACACCAAUAGCGUAGGCAGGUUGCUGGGACGGUUCUGACACUAAGGCACGAAAGCGUAGGGAGCAAACGGGAUUAGAUACCCGAGUAGUC